AGAUGAUUUCCCUUUGGGUUUUCUUGCUUCGGCUUUCCAAUAGUCUGCUAAAUCACUAACAAAAAAAAACAUAUAAUUCCCAAACUGCUUGAGACAAAAAUUCACCUUUAAUUUGUUUGGUGGGACGAGAGACAACUGCAUUUAUUGUUUUGCAGAUCACCGUGGAUCCCCCAGAAUCGGACAACGACGUUAAUGCCUCUGAACAUAACCCGGACCACGACUCGACAGAUCCUCCGGCACCUCUUCCUCUUUUCAGAUCCGGACAGCGAGCUCCACGAGUCGGACAACGAGGCUACUACCACCUGGUAAUACCUGGACCACAACUCGGGACACACACUUCCUUUUCUUCUACCUCCGAUACAUAACUACCAUGUCUAUUUUCCUCACUGCUACUCCUCUCAGCGGAUACGACGGCUAGGAUUUAUUCCCGGCUCGCGGACCGGCUGAGUUUCGUUCUACCAGGGUUCCAUUUUACACCGGGUCUUUAAGACUCGUGUUUAAAAUCGAUCCCUUCUAUUUUCCCUUGGGCGCCAUUUGUUAUGAUCCGCCUCUUUGCCACCCUGGCCUAUCGUUCCCAGCUAGCUCACGGGGAAGUCAGGGGUGUUUCCGACCCGAUAAGUCAGGGGACGGAUUGAACAAAACAAAAACAAA